GACGAACGCUGGCGGCGUGCUUAACACAUGCAAGUCGAACGGAAAGACCCUGCUUUUGUUCGGUUCUCGAGUGGCGAACGGGUGAGUGACACGUGAGUAACCUGCCCUUGACUUUGGGAUAACUUCAGGAGACUCGGGCUAAUACCGCGUAUGAGCUCCUGAUGCGUGUUGGGGGUUGGAAAGUGUCGGCUGUGGUGGAUGGACUCGCGGCUUAUCAGCUUGUUUGUGGGGUAGUGGCUUACCAAGGCUUUGACGGGUAGCCGGCCUGAGAGGGUGACCGGCGACAUUGGGACUGAGAUACGGCCCAGACUCCUACGGGAGGCAGCAGUGGGGAACAUUGCAGAAUGGGCGGACGCCUGAUGUAGAAACGCCGCGUGCGGGAUGCCGGCCUUCGGGUUGUAAACCGAUUUCGAAUGUGCUGAAGCGUGCGUGACGGUAAUGGGUAAAGAAGCCCCGGCUAACUACGUG
rnacentral:rRNA from 1 species